rnacentral:rRNA from 1 species
UACGUAGGUGGCAAGCGUUGUCCGGAUUUACUGGGCGUAAAGAGCGCGCAGGCGGUUUCUUAAGUCUGAUGUGAAAGCCCACGGCUCAACCGUGGAGGGUCAUUGGAAACUGGGGAACUUGAGUGCAGAAGAGAAAAGCGGAAUUCCACGUGUAGCGGUGAAAUGCGUAGAGAUGUGGAGGAACACCAGUGGCGAAGGCGGACGUUU